ACGAACGCUGGCGGCGUGCUUAACACCUGCAAGUCGAACGGAAAGGCCCUGCUUGCAGGGUACUCGAGUGGCGAACGGGUGAGUAACACGUGGGUGAUCUGCCCUGCACUUCGGGAUAAGCUUGGGAAACUGGGUCUAAUACCGGAUAGGAGCCAUCUUUAGUGUGGUGGUUGGAAAGUUUUUUCGGUGUAGGAUGAGCUCGCGGCCUAUCAGCUUGUUGGUGGGGUAAUGGCCUACCAAGGCGGCGACGGGUAGCCGGCCUGAGAGGGUGUACGGCCACAUUGGGACUGAGAUACGGCCCAGACUCCUGCGGGAGGCAGCAGUGGGGAAUAUUGCACAAUGGGCGCAAGCCUGAUGCAGCGACGCCGCGUGGGGGAUGAAGGCCUUCGGGUUGUAAACUCCUUUCGCUAGGGACGAAGCUUUUUUGUGACGGUACCUAGAGAAGAAGCACCGGCUAACUACGUG
rnacentral:rRNA from 1 species